CGCGUCUUCUCCCGUGCUUUACGGCUAGCUCGUAUCGCAUUGCCAACUUUACUCCUAAUGUGGUUCCCAUCACGGUCAAACUGUGAGAAAGCUGCAGAGAUUUCAUGAUCAGCAUGUCCCAUCCUGUGACAUCAUCAGAGUGCAAUUUCUGUUACCUGUUUGAUGAUGUCGGUGAUCUGGAGCUCAUCUUUCUGGGACGACAGUUCCUCUUUCACCUCGGAAUAUGUGUCAUUUAUGAUGGCAAGAAACAUGUUCUGAAGAGAUAUAAAACGGGUACAGAAGCUGUGAACAAAAGGAGGAUUUACAUAUCAGGGUGCAGUGCAAGUGGACAUUACUGCUGAGGUCCUGAUCAUAAAACUGCCUCGAAUCGGCCGACAUCUCGAUUACCAAUACUGUGAAAUAAGGUAUGUUACUAGCACAUCCAUAGAAAAAAUGCCGCAUUCUGUCAGUGUCAGUUACUUACCAA